AAGUUUAAAUUUACAUUGGAUUUGUGUGUUUAUUUAUAGAAGUAACUUUUUUAUUAGUAGAUUUUAUUGAAAGGAUUAUUUUUGUGUUAGUUAAUUUGUACUGUAAAGGUUUAUAUGUUAAUUAAUUGAAAGGAGUUUUUAUUUAUUGUACCUUUUGUAUCAGGGAUAAUUAAUUUCUUCUAUUUAUUUAGUUUUCCCGAAAUUAAAGGAGAUAUAAUUAUAUGUUAGUUAAUGUUUCAUAAUUAUUAAUUAUAUAAUUAUAGUAAUGAAAGGUUAUUCGUCUUUAAAUAUCUGGUUUUUUAGGACUUGAAUUUAAUUCAGAAUUAUUAUUUUCAUUUUUUAUUUUAAUUAUUUUUGAUUAAUAAUUUAAUAUUCUUGGGGAUAAGCUCGGGUUUAAUAUAUUAUAAUUUAUUUAUUUUUUUGGUUAAGGUAGGCUUUAAAUCAGUCAUCAUAAAUUUCGUUAUAGAUUUCACUUUAUUGUUUAUUGAUUUGGUUGGAUUUAAUUUUUUACUAAAGUUUGUUAUUUAAUUUUUUAUUUUUUGUAAUAAUGAUUGUAUUAGUAUAUUUUUAUUUAAGGUAUAGGAAUUCGGCAAAAUUUGUGUUCGCCUGUUUAACAAAAACAUGUUCUUUUGUUUAUUUAUUUGAGGUUUAACCUGCCCAAUGAGUUGUUGAAUGGCCGCGGUAUAUUAACUGUGCUAAGGUAGCGUAAUCAUUUGUCUUUUAAUUGAGGGCUUGUAUGAAGGGUUGGACGAGACAUAUACUUUCUUUACUUUAAUUUUAGAAUUUAUCUUUUUAGUUAAAAGGCUAAAAUUUUUCUAUGGGACGAGAAGACCCUAUAGAUCUUUAUAAUAUUUUUUUUUGAAUUUAUUUAGUUAUUUGUUAUUUAAUUAAUCUUAUUAUUUAAUUGGGGUGAUUUCAGGGAAUUUUAAACUCCUGAAGUGUUUAAUUCAUUGAUUAGUGUUUAAAUGAUCCAUUAAUAGUGAUUUUAAGAUUAAGUUACCUUAGGGAUAACAGCGUAAUCUUUUCGGAGAGUUCUUAUCGAUGAAAGGGUUUGCGACCUCGAUGUUGGAUUAAAAUAAGUGUUAGGUGUAGUUAUUUAAUUACUGGGUCUGUUCGACCUUUAAUUUUUUACAUGAUCUGAGUUCAGACCGGCGUGAGCCAGGUCAGUUUCUAUCUAUAGAUUUGCGGAUUAUAUUUUAGUACGAAAGGACCAAAUAUAAAGAAUAAUUUUAUUUAUUUUGAUUUAUAUU
rnacentral:rRNA from 1 species